UCCUUCCAGUUAUAAGCAACAGUUCCCAGCCGCUGCAACCAUUGUACUCCCAAAACAACAUCUAGACCCAUUAUUGGCAGAGAAAAGAAAGUAGCCACAAAGGGUAUACCUUGAAGCGAGAAGGGAAUAUUGUUGAAUUUACUGCUGCAAAGUAAUGGAGUACCAUCGGCCACUUUGACAUUGAAAGGCUUGGUCGGCUUUCCUGGAAGUUUGAGUAUCUCAGCAAUUUUCGCAUUGACGAAAUUGUGAGUUGAGCCGUUGUCAAUCAGAGCAAUUAAUUCGAAGGAAUUGAUUUGGAUAG
rnacentral:lncRNA from 1 species